GCCAGCGUGGCAUAGUGGUUUGAGCACUGGACUAUGACUUUGGAGGCAAAGGUUCGAAUCCCUGCUCAGCCA